rnacentral:rRNA from 1 species
UAAGGAAUAUUGGACAAUGGACGCAAGUCUGAUCCAGCCAUGCCGCGUGAAGGAUGACUGCCCUGCUGGGUUAGUAAACUUUCUUUUAUUGGGGAAGAAAGUUAUUUUUUGAUGGAUAUUUGACGGUACCCUAUGAAUAAGCACCGGCUAACUCCGUGCCAGCAGCCGCGGUAAUACGGAGGGUGCAAGCGUUAUCCGGAUUCACUGGGUUUAAAGGGUGCGUAGGCGGGUAUGUAAGUCAGUGGUGAAAUACCGGAGCUUAACUUCGGAACUGCCCAUUGAUACUAUAUAUUCUUGAAUAUUGUGGAGGUAAGCGGAAUAUGUCAUGUAGCGGUGAAAUGCUUAGAGAUGACAUAGAACACCGAUUGCGAAGGCAGCUUGCUACGCAAAUAUUGACGCUGAGGCACGAAAAGCGUGGGGAUCAAACAGGAUUAGAUACCCUGGUAGUCCACGCCCUAAAACGAUGAUUACUCGACAUUAGCGAUACACAGUUAGUGUCUGAGCGAAAGCAUUAAGUAAUCC